UACAGAGGGUGCGAGCGUUAAUCGGAAUUACUGGGCGUAAAGCGCACGUAGUCGGCUUUGCAAGUCGGGGUGUGAAAUCCCCGGGCUCAACCUGGGAACUGCAUCCGAGACUGCAUUGCUAGAGUAUGGGAGAGGGAAGCGGAAUUUCUGGUGUAGCAGUGAAAUGCGUAGAUAUCAGAAGGAACAUCAGUGGCGAAAGGCG
rnacentral:rRNA from 1 species